CACAUUCAUUCUGUGUCAGAAACCUAUGCUGUGUCAACUAUUUAAUUUUAGAUUUAAAUAAGUUUGAAGAAGAAAUCUUUAAUUGAUUUGUAAAAUCUUGACAUUUGUUUUGUGUAAAAAAACCCAUAUAAUGUCAAAAAUUUGAUCACAAUCCAAAUUCAGAGCUGUAUCACGCUUAAAUGUUUUGUCCAUACCUGCCCCAACUGUUCAGGGAUCGACCUCUGCGGUCGUAUAAGGCUGCGCCCUGCGGAGCACCUGGUUUCAA
rnacentral:lncRNA from 1 species